rnacentral:rRNA from 1 species
AGAGGUAAGCGGAAUUCCAGGUGUAGCGGUGAAAUGCGUAGAUAUCUGGAGGAACACCAAAGGCGAAGGCAGCUUACUGGACGAGAUCUGACGCUCAGGCACGAAAGCGUGGGGAGCAAAAAGGAUUAGAUACCCUUGUAGUCCACGCCGUAAACUUUGUACACUAGGUCUUGGAGGAUUCGACCCCUUCAGGGCUCAAGCUAACGUGAUAAGUGUACCGCCUGAGGACUACGACCGCAAGGUUAAAACUCAAAGCCCUUACGGGAAUCCCGCGGCCAUGGCGGCCGGGAGCAUGCGACGUCGGGCCCAAUCGCCCUUUAUUUCUUCAUCCU